AUGAUACACUAGUUUUGUAUUAUCAUAGCAAGGAUGCCAUGAAGUGUAGGGAAAGCGGUGCAAAUCCGCUGCAGCCCCCGCUACUGUAAACGGUUACGACUUCGCAUGUUUCCCAUUGUGCCUGUGAAAGCAACGGCAUGAGAAGGGGCGGACGUCGGUUGACCCGUGAGCCAGGAGACCUGCUUCAGUGGACGGCAUUUU
rnacentral:ncRNA from 1 species